CUCCCUAUGGCUCAGUUGGUAGAGCAUGGUGUUUGCAACGCCAGCAUGGUGUGUGCAACGCCAGGGUUGUGGGUUCGAUUACCACCGGGGACC
rnacentral:tRNA from 1 species